CAAGUAUCUAUUGUAAAUAAUUCCCAUAAAAAGUUAAGACACUUUCGAUUAAGAGAGCUCUGAAAUACUUAUAAUGAAAUAGAGUGAAAUCAAAUGAAAGAUGAAUUUCAUACAUAUGUUGUUGCACAAUUACAAGGUUUAACCAAGGGCAUACCCCUAGUGUACAUCAAUAGAGCAUUAAUAUAAAAGAAAAAUAUUGAAUUUAACGAUAUGAUGGUCGAAUUGAGUUUGAUGUAUGUUUCAAGAUGCUGAGAUUGAUAAACUUACGCUCUAGAGGUAUAUAUUUUAGAGCUCAAUAUGUCCGCUCUAAAAUGUAGAAUUAACUAAUACUAAGUAUAUGUGUCAGGACUUAGUUGGAUUUGAGGUAAAUUAACUCUAUUCAUGUGUAUUAGAGUCUAAUUUGGUUUAAUUUAAAUUUAGUUUGAUUGAACUUUAAAGCUGCGUUUGGUUCGGUUAUAAGUAAGAACUGCUUAUUAUAGGGAUAGGUACAAGUUCAAAAUAUAAGCAGGAACUAGACCAAUUUUACUUUUGGAUGAAAAUUGGAUUGUUCCUAGGAAUAGGGUAAAUAGUAUUUGGAUAGUUAGAUUAGAACUAAGGGAAUACGAGUUAUAAUUUUAAAUUAAAAUUAUUAUCUAAUUAAUUAACAUCAAAAUAUUACUAAAAAAUAAUAAAUUAAUAAUAAUUACAAAUAAUAAUACAAUAAUUAAUAAUAAAUUAAAUAAUUAAUAUUCAUAAAUUAUUAAUAAUUAUAAAUAAUAAUUUAUUAAUAAUUAUAAAUUACAAAUUAUUUAAUUUGUCAUGCCCCGGAUUAUACAUUCUCCGGGCACGCCGACAAAUCCGCCGUAUACAAAGAAAUUUUUCCUGUAUANAAUAAUAAUAAUUAAUUAAUUAAUUAAUUAUAAUUAACUAAUAGUAAAUUAAAUAAUUAAUUAAUAAUUAAUUAAUUAAUUAAUUAUGAAGAAAUUAAUGAUAAAUUAGUUAAUUAUAAAUUCAUAAAUUAAUUAAUAAUUAAUUAAUUAUAAAUUAAAAAAUUAAGUAAUUAUUAAUAAGUAUAAAUAAUAAUAAUUUAAUUAAUAAUUAUAAUAAUAAAUUAAGAAUUAAAUAAUAGUUUAAAUAUAUUAAUUAAUUAAUUAAUACCAUAAUUAAAAUAAUUUUUAGACUUUAAUUAACCUUAUUCUCACA
rnacentral:lncRNA from 1 species